rnacentral:other from 1 species
UGAAGCCUGCCCUGUACGUGACGAGCAGUGAUGUUAAUCCACCAAGUUAGAUCUUUAGGGAGCUGGAUUAGGGGGUACGGUGUGCAAGUCUUCCACAGAGGAGAAAGCCUGAUGUCUCCCUUGGGGCACCCAUUUAGAAUGAGUGGAUCUAACGCGUUUGCUUGCACGGCAGGGCGGGUUUUAU